CAGUAGCCACGGUAAUACGUAGGUCCCGAGCGUUGUCCGGAUUUAUUGGGCGUAAAGCGAGCGCAGGCGGUUUGAUAAGUCUGAAGUUAAAGGCUGUGGCUCAACCAUAGUUCGCUUUGGAAACUGUCAAACUUGAGUGCAGAAGGGGAGAGUGGAAUUCCAUGUGUAGCGGUGAAACGCGUAGAUAUAUGGAGGAACACCGGUGGCGAAAGCGGCUCUCUGGUCUGUAACUGACGCUGAGGCUCGAAAGCGUGGGGAGCGAACAGGAUUAGAUACCCCUGUAGUCCCUGUCUCUUAUCCA
rnacentral:rRNA from 1 species